rnacentral:rRNA from 1 species
CUCCCAAACCCAUAUGAACUUAUCUCUUUGUUGCCUCGGCGCAAGCUACCCGGGACCUCGCGCCCCGGGCGGCCCGCCGGCGGACAAACCAAAACUCUUGUUAUCUUAGUUGAUUAUCUGAGUGUCUUAUUUAAUAAGUCAAAACUUUCAACAACGGAUCUCUUGGUUCUGGCAUCGAUGAAGAACGCAGCGAAAUGCGAUAAGUAAUGUGAAUUGCAGAAUUCAGUGAAUCAUCGAAUCUUUGAACGCACAUUGCGCCCAUUAGUAUUCUAGUGGGCAUGCCUGUUCGAGCGUCAUUUCAACCCCUAAGCACAGCUUAUUGUUGGGAACCUACGGCUUCGUAGUUCCUCAAAGACAUUGGCGGAGUGGCAGUGGUCCUCUGAGCGUAGUAAUCUUUUAUCUCGCUUCUGUUAGGUGCUGCCCCCCCGGCCGUAAAACCCCCAAUUUUUUCUGGUUGACCUCGGAUCAGGUAGGAAUACCCGCUGAACUUAAGCAUAUCAAA